GAUGGGAUGUGGAGGUUCGGAGAGAACAUGCAAACUGCACACAGACGGGGUCGGGAUUUCAACGCGGCUCCUCAGAACAGUGAAGCAGAUGAUGCCAAAGUUUGGGGUUUUGCCAGAGCAAAGCUGGGAGUCAAUCGCAGGGCAGACAAACUUUCACAUUCACACCUCUGGAGAAUUUAGAGUCUUCAUUUAAGCUAUCAUGUACAUUAAUGACCAUCAUGUGAGUCCAUCCAAAUGAAUGCAGGAGGAGAUGGACUUCAGAAGAAGAGAAGUACUGUGAGUAAAUGAACCUCUGGCACAUACAGUAGGUUUUUAUUUAUAUAUACUGAAGAAGAAGAAGAAGAUACUGUAUGACACUUCUACUUCCUACUC